UACGUAGGGGGCGAGCGUUGUCCGGAGUUACUGGGCGUAAAGGGCAUGUAGGCGGUCCGAUCAGUUUGGGGUUACAGCUCCCGGCUCAACUGGGAGAGCGCCUCGAAGACGGUGGGACUUGAGAGCCAGAGAGGGACACAGAAUUCCGGGUGUAGUGGUGAAAUGCGUAGAUAUCCGGAGGAAUACCAAAGGCGAAGGCAGUGUCCUGGCUGAUUUCUGACGCUGAGGUGCGAAAGCUAGGGGAGCGAACGGG
rnacentral:rRNA from 1 species